GGCUUCGUUGCUCAGCUGGUAGAGCGCUUGCGAAAUUUGGGCAUGUUCCUUCUGUGGCUGGUUCGAAUCCAGCCGAAGUCU